rnacentral:rRNA from 1 species
UACGAGGGGGGCAAGCGUUGUUCGGAAUUAUUGGGCGUAAAGGGUGCGUAGGCGGUGCGGUAAGUCUGUUGUGAAAUCUCCGGGCUCAACUCGGAGUCUGCAUCAGAAACUGCCGUGCUGGAGUGUGGGAGAGGUGAGUGGAAUUCCCGGUGUAGCGGUGAAAUGCGUAGAGAUCGGGAGGAACACCUGCGGCGAAAGCGGGUCUCUGGGCCGUAACUGACGCUGAGGAGCGAAAGCGUGGGGAGCGAACAGG